GCAUGAUCCGCGACAGUGUUCACGAUUAUGC
rnacentral:sRNA from 1 species